GGAAAGAGUAAAAAAGGAAGAGAUCAGGAAUUCAGGAUUAUUCAAGAGCUAAGGCUGACCCGGUCAUGAAGAUCCGCUUACCGCUAUGAGGGACCGUCGCUGACUAUUAGAUGUAAGCGACUAACACGGCUGACUCCUCUGGAUCUAUGGCAUGAACAAUACACUUUUUGGAGGGUGAGCCUUUACACAACACAUUCUUACAGAGAUUUCUUGAAUCAACAGCACUGAAGAUAUUGAUUGCACUAGACAGCUUACUGGACUUUCCUGAAACCUCUUUAUAUUCUAGCCAUAUUGUGAUUUUUAAUAUGUAUGGAACCGUGUCUUAACUCAGUGAUUCUUUAGUUGUACAUUACUUUUUGUUUGUGCAUCAGUGGAAAUGUUUGUGGUUCAUACAAUUAUUCUAUAAAUGCUAUAAUUGUUAUAUAAUGGUAUGGCUUG